AUUGAACGCUGGCGGCAUGCCUUACACAUGCAAGUCGAACGGCAGCACGGGGGCAACCCUGGUGGCGAGUGGCGAACGGGUGAGUAACAUAUCGGAACGUGCCCUGGAGUGGGGGAUAACUAGUCGAAAGAUUAGCUAAUACCGCAUACGAUCUACGGAUGAAAGUGGGGGAUCGCAAGACCUCAUGCUCGUGGAGCGGCCGAUAUCUGAUUAGCUAGUUGGUGGGGUAAAGGCCUACCAAGGCAUCGAUCAGUAGCUGGUCUGAGAGGACGACCAGCCACACUGGGACUGAGACACGGCCCAGACUCCUACGGGAGGCAGCAGUGGGGAAUUUUGGACAAUGGGCGCAAGCCUGAUCCAGCAAUGCCGCGUGAGUGAAGAAGGCCUUCGGGUUGUAAAGCUCUUUUGUCAGGGAAGAAACGGUGAGGGCUAAUAUCCUUUGCUAAUGACGGUACCUGAAGAAUAAGCACCGGCUAACUACGUGCCAGCAGCCGCGGUAAUACGCAGGGUGCAAGCGUUAAUCGGAAUUACUGGGCGUAAAGCGUGCGCAGGCGGUUGUGCAAGACCGAUGUGAAAUCCCCGGGCUUAACCUGGGAAUGGCAUUGGUGACUGCACGGCUAGAGUGUGUCAGAGGGGGGUAGAAUUCCACGUGUAGCAGUGAAAUGCGUAGAGAUGUGGAGGAAUACCGAUGGCGAAGGCAGCCCCCUGGGAUAACACUGACGCUCAUGCACGAAAGCGUGGGGAGCAAACAGGAUUAGAUACCCUGGUAGUCCACGCCCUAAACGAUGUCAACUAGUUGUCGGGUCUUAAUUGACUUGGUAACGCAGCUAACGCGUGAAGUUGACCGCCUGGGGAGUACGGUCGCAAGAUUAAAACUCAAAGGAAUUGACGGGGACCCGCACAAGCGGUGGAUGAUGUGGAUUAAUUCGAUGCAACGCGAAAAACCUUACCUACCCUUGACAUGGCAGGAAUCCCGGAGAGAUUCGGGAGUGCUCGAAAGAGAACCUGCACACAGGUGCUGCAUGGCUGUCGUCAGCUCGUGUCGUGAGAUGUUGGGUUAAGUCCCGCAACGAGCGCAACCCUUGUCAUUAGUUGCUACGAAAGGGCACUCUAAUGAGACUGCCGGUGACAAACCGGAGGAAGGUGGGGAUGACGUCAAGUCCUCAUGGCCCUUAUGGGUAGGGCUUCACACGUCAUACAAUGGUACAUACAGAGGGCCGCCAACCCGCGAGGGGGAGCUAAUCCCAGAAAGUGUAUCGUAGUCCGGAUUGCAGUCUGCAACUCGACUGCAUGAAGUUGGAAUCGCUAGUAAUCGCGGAUCAGCAUAUCGCGGUGAAUACGUUCCCGGGUCU
rnacentral:rRNA from 1 species